rnacentral:tRNA from 1 species
UAGCUCAGUUGGGAGAGCGCUUGAAUGGCAUUCAAGAGGUCGUCGGUUCGAUCCCGUC